AAUCUGAACGACAGUGAUCAUUUUGGCAUGUGAAACAGUGACUAUGUUGAACCAGGCGUUUUAAAAUAAAGGUUUACAAUUAUGCGAUGUUAUUUGAUGUGAAAAUCUGAACUCGAGCUCAUUAGUCAUAACUCCUCACAUGCACGUGCUGAGGCUAGAAUGGACAUGUUGGUCGCUAAAGCAAAAAUAAUUAUGGCCAUGCAUCGAGCUUGAUAGAUGGGGCAGUUUCUAUGAUUAUACUUAAAAACUUUUAAGAGUGUUGAUGUGUUUAUAUAUUCGCUUCAAAUUGUAAAGAUGUAUUAAAUUAGCGUUUAAUCAUUUCACGCAAUAUAUGCAUUUUUUUCAUUCAUCCUCGACGUUAGAGGGCGCCCUCUUAAAAAAAAAAACAAGUCACAAACACCAUAGAAGCAACACGAUGACCUUCCAGGAAUUGAUAUGGACAUAACCAUGCUUUUGACUAGUUGAAGAAUACAAACAUCUUUGCAAUAAUUAAGGCAUUAUCAGUCUCCACAAAGAGUUGAAUUGUGCCCGACAGUUGCAGAAUUUAAAGAUCGCUGGCCUGCUCUGUUUGACAUUCUCCAGAUUAAUGAAGAGUUUAGGAGAAUUACUACUCUGCACCAUGAGCCAACAUUUAUUAAGAUGUUGGAUUACUACACUUCUAAACUUUUCACAAUAUUUUCCUGCAAAGGAGGAGCACUUGGACAGAUUUCGAAGAAGAAAAUGGGUGCCAUACAGCAGACCUCACAUCAAAACAUAGAACAGACAAGAGAUGUUGUCCUCUGUUGCUUGGUCAAUUACUUGGGUGAAAAGGAGGAAGACCUCAUCCAGGAGUACAAUUAUGAAAAUGAGGAUGUGCAGCAAAGUCUACUGCAGCAGGUAAUGAAAAUUGCUGUCUGCAAGAAGGAUGACCAGGAGGACUUUAGCAUUGUCUUGGAGGGUGUGCAAGUCAUGACUGGCUUGGGAAAUCUGACUAGAGCCUGCACAAUUCUUCUUGGAUUCACGUAUGCAUUAAACCUCACCUCUCCCAAACAACUGAGGAACACGUUUGAGGCCUUUCAGAAGCUCUUCUUGGAACUGGAUGUUUGCAGGUUUUCCCCCAAAUUACAAUCUCUCAAAAACAAACUUGUGCAUUAGAUUGUGAGAGACACAUUCCAUUGUUACCAAGUUUUGGUGAAAAUGCCCAGGUUGAGGUUUGAGAUUGUUCUGCAGCUUGUUCUACAACAGUUUAUCUGGUUUGAUGCUAAACAGUUGAUUUCAAUGACAUAAAUUGUGAGUUACAAACUGUUUUACAAAUUGUUUUUGUUUUUUCUUAAAAAUGCUGUAAAUGUUAUAUACACUAUUUUACAAAGUGUUUAAUAUUUUGAUACCAGUGUA